rnacentral:rRNA from 1 species
GACGAAGGGGCUAGCGUUGUUCGGAAUUACUGGGCGUAAAGCGAGUGUAGGUGGUUGUCCAAGUUGGAUGUGAAAGCCUUGAGCUCAACUCAAGAAAUGCAUUCAGGACUGGGCGGCUAGAGGACCGGAGAGGAUAGUGGAAUUCCCGGUGUAGUGGUGAAAUGCGUAGAUAUCGGGAGGAACACCAGUGGCGAAGGCGACUUCCUGGCCUGUUCUUGACGCUGAGGCGCGAAAGCUAGGGGAG